GUGAAUGAAACUAUUGAACUAACCUUGGAGCUGACCUGACAUAUUAGAGGUUCUUAGCAUCAUUAAAUUCCUAAUUUUGACUUAUCAGUCAUCAGCUGGUUGUAGUUUCAGAGUAUUAUCUCUUUCUUCUUAGUGUCUCUGAAUAUGUGCUUUUUUUUGUAAUUAAGAUUCUUCACUUGUUAAUACUUCUGGCCAAUGGAAUGCAAACUAACAUCUGUUGCAUGGUCAGGCAACACUAGCAACACUGGAUUAUUCCAUGCCUGGACUAUGCUACUUUCAGGCUUUUGUGCUUCAAUUACGCUGUUUGCUCUGCUUCUCAUAAUGCUCCCUCAUGUUUUCUUCUUUGCUCCUCAACUCAGAGAAUUCUAGCUCAUUCUUCAAGGCCAAGAUCAAAUAUCACUUCCUCCAAGAAGCCUUUCUCAACCCUACUUUUCCUCUUUGCCAUGAUUCUCCAUCAUUUCAUAGGUCUAGUUAUCUCUCCCAUGAUGCUUUGUUCAUACUGCUAACAAAAUGUGUCAGUAGAUAUUUGUUUCUACAUAAUAGUUUCCUCUUCUAUCACAUUAGCUUGGAGAAAAUGAAAUUUGUCCUGAGUAUAUUUGCAUGUCUGUAUUAGGGUUCUCUAGAGAGACAGAACUAAUAGGAUAGAGAGAUAGGUGGAUUGGCUCAUGUGAUUAAAGAGGCUGAGACGUUCCUCGAUAGACCAUCUGUAAGCCUGGAGACACAGGGAUGCCAGUAGCAUGGUUGUCCAAACUGGAGGGCCUCAGAACCAGGGAAGCCCUUGGUGCACCUCUCACUCUAAGGCUGAAGACCUAAGAAGCCAGGAGGCCACUGGUGCAAGUCUCAGAGUUCAAAGGCUGGAGAACCUAGAGUUCUGAUGGCCAAGGACAGGACGAGAAGGGUGUCUCAGCUCCAGGAGAGAGAGCAAGAGAGCCUUUCCUCUGCCUUUUCACUCUAUCCAGACCCCCAGCCGGUUAGAUGGUGCCCACCCACAUUGAAGGAGGAUCUCCCCAACUCAGUCCACGAACUCACAUGCCAAUAUCCUCUGGAAAUACCCUCAUAGACACACUCAGAAAUAAUGAUUUAGCACCCAUCUCUUAAUCCAGUCAAGUUAAUACCUAAAAUUAACCAUCACAAUCUCCAAAGUCAAACAUAGUGCCUGGUGGAGACCUACGUGUGUCGAAUCAAUCAAGAAAACUUACAGUGUGGUAUGUAGUAUACAGAGUCACUUUAGCCUAGGUUUGAGUUAUAGGUCAAGCCACUUACUACCUGUUAACCUUGGACACAUUAUUUAAACUUUCUGAGCACUUGUUUUCUCAUUUGUAAAGCGAAGAUGUUAAAAAUAAUAUAAAUUAACUUUUGAACAUGGCUUGAGAAUGUAAUAAGUUAACACCUUUACAGUUAUGUAGAGCAGUGCCUGAGGCACAGUAGGCACACAAUAAAUAUUAGCCCUUAUUAUAAUAAUCAUCUUAUAUAGUGAGAUUGGUCUCCUAGAAGGGCAGUGAAAAUAUUAUCAAAAGAAUCACCAAUUGCUGCUCAGGAGCAUUGAAGGAGCACCUUGAGUUGGAGAAGUGUCAACAAUUUUGAUUGAAGCUAGAUGAGCGUGUCUAUGCCUAGUGGGCAGGCCUUAAUUUGCUGCUUCUUCACAUUUCACUGGCGAUUAAAUGCUGAGGGACCCAUGUCUCUGAUACCUGGCUUGGAGCCCAGUCUCCUGGGAUGCUAUUUCAACUUGACCCAGCUAUAAAAGCAUAGGAACCCCAGUCAUCAGAUAAAGCAGUAGAGCAACGAAGGUCUGUGCUGUCUGGUCAAGGGUUAGAUUUGGAUGGUUAGGGAGCUGGAAGAUAUUGGUAUGGGAUUGUGGGGUUGGAGAGAUGGAUUUGGCUUAGGAGAACAGAAGGAAGGCUCCAGCAGCAGGAAAUCAUUUUCUUGCUAGCCUGUGUUCCAAUUAGGGGCAAAUAUUAGAAGCAGGAACUGCCUCAAGGUAGGAGGAUAAUAGGACUGAGGGUUUUAGGUAAGGGAUAUCCUGCCACAGAGAUGACAAUGUGAUCUGGUAUGCGUUUUCCUCUGCAUGUCAAAUGAAUAACAAGGAUUAAUUUGCUUCCGCCACAAGAUGCACAACAUUCUCUACUCCUCCCUCUGCUGUGGCUGCUGGAGGCCACUCAUGUAGGGCACCCAUAUUCAUGACAGCUUGAAAGCACUAGAGAAAGCCAGCUUCUAUAUUACAUUGCAAAAUUGCAGCAGGCUUAUUUCUUUGAGAGCACAUACUGUUUUGAGUCCUGAGAAGUCCCUUUUGUAUCUUGCCUACCUCUCCUCUUUGAGAGCCUGUAACAUACGUGCAGUGGGCAUAAACCACACACCAAGCCCUCGCUGUGCUAGUGGAUUUACUUUCGAUUGCUACUACAACAAAUUACUACAAAUUUAGGGGCUUAAAACAACACCCAUUUAUUAUCUCACAGUUCUGUAGGUCAGAAGUCCAGUAGGCGCAGCUGGUUUCUCUGUUUCAAGUCUCACAAGACUGAAAUCAAGGCAUUCGCUGAGCUGCUUUCCCUUCCGGAGGCUCUAGGGGAGAGUCCAUUUCCAGGUUAAUCCAGGUAGUCGGCAGAAAUCAAUGUCUAUAGAACUGAGGUCUGUUUCCUUUGCUGGCUGCCAUCUGGGCAUCUCCCUUGGUAUUUAGAGGCCUCUUUUGAGUCAUUGUAGGUAGUCUCUGCACACCCAAAACUAGGAAUGGCAUAUUAAAUUCUUCUGACCCUGGAUCUCUUCUGUCUCCGCUUCUUGUGCUGCAUCUCUAUGACCAACUCUUCUGCCUUCCACUUCUGCUUUUAAGUGAUUAGAUGGGCCCCCUUGGUAAUCCAAGAUAAUCUUCCUAUUUUAAGGUCUGUAAUCUCAAUCACAUCCACACUGUCUCUUUUGCCACGUAAAGUAACAUAUUCACAAGUUCCCAGAGAUUAGGGCUUGGAAAUCUUUGGGGGACAUUAUUCUGCCUACCACAGCUAGGUUAUUUUCAUAUUUUUCUCCCUUAAUCCAUGUAACAGCCUCGUAAAGAAAGCAUUGUUAUACUCAUCAUAUACGAAUAGUAACUGAGGUUCAGAGAGGUUCCUAUUACAACUGAUAAACGGGGGAGCUGGGGUUUGAAUCUUGCUUCAGAGCUCACACUCCGUCCUCUGCCAGAGAUGGAGGGGUGGAAGAAAAGCCAUCAUGUGACCUGCCACUCUCAUUGCAUUUCCCACCAUUGUUUCACUAGGGCUGCUUCUCAACUUAGCAAGGUCGUCACUCUGUCCACCAAAGAUUUCUAACUCUCCUCCUGGGUAUGUGGUAUGUGUGUCUCCUGGGUCUCAUCAGAACACACAUGGCACGCUCAAAUGAAGUUAUUGAGAAGAGAUUAAUAAAAGGACUGUUUACAAGGUUGUGAGUGGGGCAAUGUAAAACCAACAAGGAAUGACAGAGCAUGUUGGCUAACAACAGCUAUUGCACCCCACGCCUGGAGGAGUAUAGGGAAGAAACAGUUACUAGAACCCCAAGAGAAAGGAGAAACUGAAGGAGGGGAUGCCUGGCUGGAGCUGUGGCCUUCAAUAGUGGAACACCGCUACAACCAGCCUGGCAGGGAGGCUUCUGUGGAUUUCUGAGAGAGCGGAGGAGGAGCAUGUACAAUCACCACAAGCUCCAUGGCUGACCAGCACAGGCAUUAGGCAGAAAAGUCAGAAAAGUGUUGUAUAAGAUUCACAUAGAAAUAAGGACAAGAACAAGAACUGCACAAGAGUUGACACUGGAGACUGGAAUGCUACUCAAAGAACAGAAUUCCCCCAAACAUCCAAGAUGACCCCUAGCAACUGAAUUAUCUUGACAUCACCUCAGCAGUAGAGUGCUGUUAGGUAACUCUGGCAAGGGUAUACAUAUAAUCUGCUUCAACAGUCCUUAUUCCCACCAACCAACUCAACUAUUCCUGCCCUUUAUUUAUCUUUUCGUUACAGCUUCCUUAUACUUUUGCCCACUUCUAAUUUCAAUAUACCCAAUGGCUUUUCACAACAUCUACAGUUGACUUUCUCUCUGGGUAUCUUCUGCUCCUGCUCCAUCUUCCAAAUGCUCAAACUAAUUUGUGCAUUAAAUGUAAAAAAAAAAAAAAUCACCCGAAGAGGGCAUAUCAUUCCUUCAAUUAAUCACCAGCAUCCCUGUUUUGACACAGAUUUUGUGCCAUGCUGUCCAUAUCGCACCGGCCAGUCUACAUGUUAUUUGACUUUGAGUUCACUUCCCACUUUUGGCAAGCCUGGCUGUUGUUCUGUAGCAGGGUAACACAGGCUAAGAAUUGAGAUAUGUCAACUUAAGGAUUCACCGUGGUCAAGUUUCCUCUGCAGAAGACCAUGGAAGUGUGUCAUGGGCAUUCUGACUCUUGCCUUCUUCAAAAUAGCCCCACUAACAGAUGUCAGCAACUGAUUCCUUUGGAAGGAUAAACAAAUGGUAUAACCAGAUAAGGCUUUGAAGGCUUUGCAAUGGACCCCAAAUUAUAACUAGUUACACAGAAAUUUAAAGAAUGGAAUGAAUCUCUGUUUGGAUAGAUGUCCUAUAUAUUGCAGGCAUAACAGAACUGACCUUCCUCCCAGCCCUGUCGUGAGGAUGAAAUCCUGUGUGGAGCACUUUGAAAUCUUUGGAUGAAAAGCACGACAGAAGUGCCAAGUAUGAUUGUUACCCGUGCCAGCCACACUAGAAGACAGCAUAAAAAUAGGAAGCAAAGAAAAUUUCAUUUUACAAAAGCUUCAGUGAGAAAAUUGGCUGGUCAGAAUGUCAUUCCCUAGUUUUGGUUCACAUACACGUUGUCUUUUAUAAAAUUAAAGGAAAAAAAUAAUUGUACACAUUUUUGUCUUUGCCGGGAAGAAGCCCUUUGAUCAUCACCAUCCCUGCGACGCCAGGAAUCGAAGCCAUAAAGUCUGAGGGGGUGUUACAGGUUGAGGAUUAGGGAGUGUCUAAACCUUGACAUCGUCACAACAUAGGAUCCGAGAUACCUCCAGCUAAAACAGAGACUGUGCUUUCAGAACUGGCCCUGCACGCAGCCUCUACUCCAGUGCUCUCAGGUCCUGUCCUUAAUAGGAGAACAUGAGAGCUGCAGAUUUAAAAACCCAAGAGGGAACCUUUGCAACAACCUUUGUUAUAUUAGGAAUCCCAAAAUAAGCUAGAAGAGAGGAAUUUGAAUGUUCUCAACACAAAUGAUAAAUGUUUGAGAUGAUGGAUAUGCUAAAUACACUUAUUUGAUCAUUAAACAUCGUAUACAGAGGGCUCCCAUAAUUGUAUAAGCCUCAUGCCUCACAAAACCUGAAGGUGCCUUUGGUGAGGAGGAUCAUCAGAACACCAGCAGAGUACCUCGACGUGUGAAAUCUAGCACUGGAUUCCAUCCCUGACUUUUCCUAAGAAUCACUGUGAAUGCUCUGGACAAAUUGCUGCUGCGCUGGGUGCUCCCUGUGUCAUCACACUUCCUAAUUGUACUUCUGGGUCCUCUGAAGCUGUUCCCAGUGCUUAAUCGUAAGAAAAGAAGCUCCAAAUACUAGUUCAGAAACUCAGGUAGAAAGAGACCUUAAAUGUCAUGUCCAGCCACUCUUCUGAUGCUUGAGUCUUCUCUUCAGGAGGCAUCUGGGCCUGGGCUUGGACCCCUUGCCUCAGUCAACCCAUUAGAAGUGUCUUUCCUUGUCUUGAGUCAAAACCAGUCCACUGCUACUGGCAUUGCUCUAUACUUCCAGGCUGUACAGAAGAUGUCUAACCUUUCAGAUGAGAAUGGCAGAGGAAAGCAAGAAGAAAGAAACUUUAAUUGUUCCUCAACUUCCCAAUUAGGCACACCAUUAGGGGUUUUUAAUAUGGUUCUUGAUUUAAUCUUCUCAUUAACUUUCUGAUGUAAGUAUUAUUAUUUUAUUCUAGGGUUCCCAGAUGUAGCAAAUAAAAAUAGAGGAUAUCCAGUUAUAUCUGAAUUUCAGAUCAAAACAAAUGAUUUUUAAAUAAAACAUACACUCCCAAAAGUGUGAAAUUAAUUUGUCCUUGGACAAGAGAUAUGGAAAUGUCAUGUAUUUUACCUGGAAAUCCUGUUAUUAUGCCCAUUUUUGGAGCUGAGGAAACUAAAGGUAGGAGCCUAGGUAAGUAGUGGAGCUGGAAUCUAAGCCCAGGUCCUUGAUUUCAAAGCACAACCCCAUGCCCCACAAUAUCAUACACUGAUUUAGUAUCUGCCUCCUACCUACCCCCAAGAAAAAUGUGAAAUUAAUUUGUCUUUAGAAAGGAGCUACCAAAGCUAUAAAAACAAAACAAAUGUAUUUGCAGCUAAGAGAAGACAAUCUCCAGGAAACUACUGCUUCAGUUAUUUGACACUGGGCAGAAUUUUUGGUGAGAAAUCAGCAAGAUCAUAGCCUGGAGUGAACACUGGAGGCAUGAGAUGUCCUUGAGAAAGAGGCUAGAACAGAGGGUGGAACGCCCCUUCUAUUAAAGCAGUUGUUUUCCAGGGUCUCUGGAAAGCUCCUUCCUUUGUCGUGGCGGUGGUGGGGAAGGGGAGGCUGGGACCCUAAUGCAUGACUUUCCACCUGGGUGUCACUGGCACCUGAUGUCCUAAUCAUAUUUCCCUGUCACCUCUCAGUGCUGAUUUACUUUCUCCUCCCAUUCUACAUGCUGCAGAACUAAUUGCCUGCCUAAUUGCCAAAACGAAUUGCUGUGACAUUCAUUGUUCAUCUGCUCCUUUCUCCGGCUUGAGCUCAGGCAGGUGGCUCCCAUGAAGGCAAGGGUGGAAUUAUUCCUGCUUUAGGGCCAGGAUGCUUCAGAGUGAUGGCCCAACAAUUAUCUUCCUCAUGGAGGCGGACCAAGGAAUCACCUUCCUCAUUGAGCAGGGGACAAUAAUUCUUGGCAGGGGUUCCCCUUCUUCUGCUGUAAGAUUGGGUAGCUUUGACAGGUUGUGAGUCAGUUAAAUUGUACUUUUCAGGGAGUUCCUCUCUCCCAUUUGGAGAUUAGGAUUAGAUUUGUUGGUUAAGAAACUGACCGAGAGAGGAGAGACAGCUCCUUGCUGGCCACAUAGCUCAUUCAUGGUGAAGUUGAAUCUGGGGCUCAGAUAUCCCAAUUCAUAGCCCAGAAUGAUUUCUACUGCACCACACCACAACUGUUGCAGUUGCACUAAUUACGGUUUUAUAUUUCCUUAUAAACUUUUAUUAAACCCCUAUCAAAUAGUAUGUCCUCAUUGGUAGCAAGAAUAAUAAAUAUUUAUUGAGUUGUUAUGAAUAUUAAGCCUACUUUUUUUUCAUGUAAUCCUGAAAAAAGGCAACAUGACAGAGAUGCUCUCAGUAUCCUUAUUUUAUAUCAGGGAAAGUGGAGGCAGAGGGAGGUUAAUAACUUGCCCAGGUCUGACACCAGAUCCCAUCCUCUUACCCCCACAAGCCCAUGUGCAGAUUCCUCCUGACAGCUUCUGGAUUCUGAUACACGAAAGAACUUAUGAAGAUGACUUGAAGGCUGGAGCUGGCGCAACAUGAAACUAAUCAACCAGAUUAUGCAAAUUAUUAUGUAAACUCCUAUUAUUGAGCCAGGAUUCAUGACAGCCCCUUUUUUCCAACGCUGCUGAGAUAAAAGCAAAUGGAUUGCAACACUAGCUUGGGAUGAAUUCAGGGAGCUUGGAAAGAAUUCCUGGGAUUUUCUGGGCAGUGGAAAAGACAGUGGGUUGGGAGUCAAGAACCUGAAGUUUAGUUCCGGAUCUGGCAUUAGGUAGCUGCAUGGCCCUGGGAGGACCUAUGUGCCUCAGUUUCUUCAACUGUGAAACGAGAUAAGACUCCAUGCUCUGGAAGACCCCUGCCAUUCUAGGCAUCUCGGAUGGCAUGUCCAAGAUGGAAGCACACAAUGGCAGAGGCUUGUAGCGACCUUCAGGACAGCUUUCCAGUAGCUGUAAAUAAAAGUCUUAUUGUUUGGUUCUUGGUCUUUCCCCCCUCUCAGUGACAGGAAGAA
rnacentral:lncRNA from 1 species